GACGAACGCUGGCGGCGUGCUUAACACAUGCAAGUCGAACGGAAAGGCCCUGCUUUUGUGGGGUGCUCGAGUGGCGAACGGGUGAGUAACACGUGAGUAACCUGCCCUUGACUUUGGGAUAACUUCAGGAAACUGGGGCUAAUAUCGGAUAGGAGCUCCUGCUGCAUGGUGGGGGAUGGAAAGUUUCGGCGGUUGGGGAUCGACUCGCGGCUUAUCAGCUUGUUGGUGGGGUAGUGACUUACCAAGGCUUUGACGGGUAGCCGGCAUGAGAGGGUGAACGGCCACAAGGGGACUAAGAGACGGCCCAGACGCCUACGGGAGGCAGCAGUGGAGAAUAUUGCGCAAUGGGCGGAAGCCUGAUGCAGCAACGCCGCGUGCGGGAUGACGUCCUUCGGGUUGUAAACCGCUUUCUCCUGUGACGAAGCGUGAGUGACGGUAAUGGGUAAAAAAGCACCGGCUAACUACGUG
rnacentral:rRNA from 1 species